rnacentral:rRNA from 1 species
GACGAACGCUGGCGGCGUGCUUAACACAUGCAAGUCGAACGGAAAGGCCCUGCUUUUGUGGGGUGCUCGAGUGGCGAACGGGUGAGUAACACGUGAGUAACCUGCCCUUGACUUUGGGAUAACUUCAGGAAACUGGGGCUAAUACCGGAUAGGAGCUCCUGCUGCAUGGUGGGGGUUGGAAAGUUUCGGCGGUUGGGGAUGGACUCGCGGCUUAUCAGCUUGUUGGUGGGGUAGUGGCUUACCAAGGCUUUGACGGGUAGCCGGCCUGAGAGGGUUACCGGCCACAUGGGGACUGAGAUACGGCCCAGACUCCUACGGGAGGCAGCAGUGGGGAAUAUUGCACAAUGGGCGGAAGCCUGAGGCAGCAACGCCGCGUGCGGGAUGACGGCCUUCGGGUUGUAAACCGCUUUCGCCUGUGACGAAGCGUGAGUGACGGUAAUGGGUAAAGAAGCACCGGCUAACUACGUG